GCUCGCUCUGAACUUUUUCAGAUU
rnacentral:snRNA from 1 species